ACGGUGACUGUGUAUCUCUGCUUCCUUAGGAAGCAAAUUUGCAAAUGACAUCCAUAUCUUCUCCUAAGAUUAGAAGCCAAACUACUACAUCUGCAUGCGGGGGGAAAUCCUUCCUUUAUGAUUCCUGUAUUCAGCGGGAGAAAGCUUAAAAACAACGCUUGGAAAAACAAUUGCUGUAUUAAUGGAAGGCUGCAAAACUGAUGAGCCUGGCCAGUAACUGUGGAGGAGCAGUGUUGGGAGCACGUUCCGGGUCAGCCAGGGUAGAGGCUCUGCAGCCCAGCCUGGCUGUGUGAUGGUUCCUUGGCUCAGAUUUUCACAACUUGUUUCCCAAAUCUUUAUCACUUUUGUGGAGCUGUCUGUAAGGAAGAUGAGAGGUUUUUGAGAAGUGGACAUCAAGACUGAACAUAGUAGUGUUCUCAGGAAUGCAUUGUACUGCAGCAAAGUGAAUUCCUUUCACUCAACAUUUCCAUUCGCGCCCUGUGCCACAAGCUUGCUUUCUGGAGCUCAUUUGAACUGACCCUUCUGUUCUGAAAGAAUGAUUUCCUGAGAAACUGAUUUUCAAAGUGGUCUUCUCUCCUUCCAGCAUUAUCUGUAUUUCUGAUUACUGUGUGAGCAUUCCAAAACAUCCUGUAGGACUGUGAUCACUUAGCACAGCUUGUAGGAAUAACCCCACCUUUAUCACUUUCUGCAGCUCUUACUACCACGUGCAAGCUAUGCUGAUCAAAAUCCUUGUGCAGAUCGUUGCCAAGUGUGUUAAAUGAGAAAUAGUCCCAGGAGUUUCACCCAGGAAAGUCUCUUUCAGAUCCUUGCUCGUACUACUACUACAUCUUACAUUUUGGUGUUUUUCAGUAAGUGGAAAUGCCGAGUCAUGGCUUGAACCAGUGACUGAGCACCUGGUGGAAAGGCAGGGCCAACCCAAGGGAGCUCAGGUGCAUGCAACCUUAUUUAAGGGUUGGCAGUGGAGGCAAGGCUAUCUUGCUGAAGAUCACCGCCUGAAGGCCUUCUGAAGGAAAUUGCAUAAAGGAUUAUUUAUCAGGAAAACAUUAUGAAGAGCAUCGUGUGCUGUUGUGUGUCCAUUUCCACGCGCUGCCCUCCCUGCCUGUUGCCACAUCCAUAUCGUAAAUCCUCUACAUUGUUGCUCUCUAAGGAACUGUGCAACUGGUUCAUUGUUCGUGUGUCAGUUUGCAUAUGCAAAUGACACGGUGCCAUACAUUUCAGCUGCAGAAAAAGCUGUUUCUAUAAUCAGGAAAACUAGCAAUUAAUGAGCUGGGAGUAGGAGCAGAUACUGCUGUGGGCAGGAACAGCAGGCUUUUGUGCCCUCUAUGACUUUCUCUGUAUCCGCUUGGUUUUUAAAGCUGCCACGUUGCUGAGACAGCCCCUGGUUGUCUGCCUGGUUGAUUCUGCCUUCCAAGGGCUCAGUGCUGUGUAAACAUGCAAUUGAAAGCUCAUUGGCUCUAAAAAUGAGCUUAAAGGUGGGGAGGCUUGAUCUGAAAAAACAUGUAAGAAAACAGCAAGCUUUUAGAGGUCUCGUUUCUUCAAGCAGUUCUGUUGUCCUACAGCUGAAAGAGGGAAAAUAUAGCAGCAACAACUGAAGCAAACUUUCACCAGAGGUAAACGUGUAUGAGCUGGGAGGUGCUGUGUAAAGGAACAUGAAGAGGAGAUGGUGCCUGCUGAAGGCUUGCUUUGCCAUUCCUUCUGCAUAUACUUCCAUGUAGUCCUUGCAUUCUGCCACCUUUAUCUGAUAGCAGCCUAUUCUGGUACAAAGUAACAUACUGUGCAAGUGCUUUUGGAUUGUAGCAUGGUAUUUAAAAGGAAACACAGAUGUUAGUGAACAAUUCAGAGAGGAAAUGAAAAGAGGAAGAGCAUCUGGAGCCUUGAGUCUGGGCUGGAGCUCUGUUUGCAGUUGAUUUAGUACUGCUGGGCCAUUGCAGUCAGGUCUGGACUCUGUGCUUUUGAGUAGGUGCCCCAAGUAUUCCCCAGCAUAGCUGAGUGUGCUCUGCUCUGGGCACAGUGCUGUGCAAAUUCUGAUUUUUGAGGGUCUGGGGAAAGGACAGCUGCAUUUCUUUGAUGUCAACUCCAAUUGCAGCAGCCAUAGCCAUGACUUUUACAUCCCUUUCAGUUCUUCCCAACCUUUUGGCAAUGGUGAUGCCCAGAGCAGCUGUGUGCAUUUACCCAAAUUUAGCAAAGGGCUGUCACCCAGAGGGAGGGAGGCUAGGGAUUCCUGCCUCCCCAAGGCUUUUGUGGUUCAAUCACUUUUCUGAGCUCGGGUAAAGGUGGUAAAUCUGCUCCUUUUAUAGAUUUAAUGGAAAGGUUUGUGAGUGUCUGUAAAACAAACUGUUACACCACCUGUGGUGAUAAUAAAUAUUUUACGCUCUGCAGAAGUGAAUUUGUCUUAACAAAGCUCUUGGUUACAGUAACCUGUGUGUUUCUGUUUAGCUCGUGCACGUCUGCUGUAUCUGCACAUCUGAACAGACCUGCCAGAGCAUUCCUGCCUUUAUUCAGCUCCUCUCGCUAUUUCCUGUGGGUGCGUUUGCUCAGCACCCCAGUACUGCUGUAUGCGCUGCCCUCGGCGUCUCGGUGUCCUUGGUGAAACAGAUUCGGUGUUACAUAUGUGCCAAGUCUCCCUUUGGAUCUCUGUUUUAUUAUUUAAAGAAACAGCUCUUUAUGUUGCAGCCUUCCAUUGAUUUAUCAGUGUGUCCUGGAAAUACAAAGUGAGUUGUCUUUUGCUGUCAGGGACGUAGUUCGUGUCUCCUAAUAAGUAAUAUAGGCAUUAUCUGUGUUUAAUGUAGAAACGCCUGCCCUUCCUUGAGUCUUGAUGCUGUAUAUUGCAUGCUGUCUAGAUCUAGGCAAACUUAAAAGCAGCCUAAAAGGCAUUUGAUGGGAUCAGCCUGAAGGUCAGUUCUUUGUUGUCUUUGGAGCUUGAUGUGAAUAGUUCCAUGGAAAGGGUAGAACCAGAGAGAUGGGAAGGGACUUGGAUUGUUUUCUUCAGACUUUUUUUUCCAGUGUAUAUUCAAAAUGAUAAAAUGCUUCAGGAAUGUUAACUGUAGAGACAGAAGUCGUCCCCCCUCCCCCCUUUUAUCUUUUAAUUAUUUUUUAUUUUUGGGAUGUAGCAAUUUCCUCUUUUUUUUCUCCAUUAGAAGGACAUUUUAUUCUGCUCUGGGGUAUUGACCGUUCUAAUCCUCAAAACAUGCUGUUCAAACCUCCUGGAGGUUUCUGCCAAUACAGCUCAUUCAGGCUUCCAGGAGUGCAGGGAGAAGAAGGUAUUGGAAUACAUGCAACACUUGUGGAGGCCAAAGGUAUUGGAGGUUGAGGGAGGGGUAGGUCCACUGAGGGCCGUUAAACAUAAUGGU